rnacentral:rRNA from 1 species
GACGAACGCUGGCGGCGUGCCUAAUACAUGCAAGUCGAACGCACAGUUCAUACUGUAGCUUGCUACACCAUAGACUGUGAGUUGCGAACGGGUGAUUAACGCGUAGGUAACCUGCCUGGUAGCGGGGGAUAACUAUUGGAUACGAUAGAUAAUACCGCAUAAUAUUGAUUAUUGCAGGAUAAUUCAUCGAAAGGUGCAAUUGCACCACCACCACAUGGACCUGCGUUGUAUUAGCUAGUAGGUGAGGUAACGGCUCAGCUAGGCGACGAUACAUAGCCGAACGGGGAGGGUGGUCGGCGGCACGAGGACGGGGACACGGCCCAUAGGACUACGGGACGGCGCAGUAGGGAAUCGUCGGCAAUAGACGAAAGUCUGGCCGAGCGACGCCGAGUGAGUGAAGGAAGCUCUCGGAUCGUGAAGAUCGGUUGUGAGAGAAGAACGGGUUUGAGAGUGGAAAGUUCACAGUGUGACGGUAUCUUACCAAAAAGGGACGGCUAACUACGUG